AGGGCAGCCCAGGCCCGCGCAGGCCCCGCGAAUCUCCGCGCGCCCCGGCCCCCCCGCCCCCCACGCCCCAGGCAGGCCCCGAGGGAUUGGCUCCCUGGGCCGACGGAAAACUUAGGAAGGCAGCCCCGGGCCGGGUGCAGGAGAGCAGAGCAGAAAUCCUUUGGAAUCUUGGAACCUAUUUCCAAAGCUUUAUAAUGCACACCAAAAAAAAUCUGACACUAAAGGGUUUGAUAUGAUUAGCUGAAGAACCUGCUUGGAACGGCUCCCUUCCACAUAGUAAGACUAAGUGUGAUCUUGUUCUUGCUUUAAUGAAGAAAUAGCAUGAUAAUGCAGCAAACACAAAAAGCACAUAGUGUUUUUCAGUAUCACCCUUGCAAAAAUCAAUUUUUUUCCUAGUUCUUAUACAUACAGCAUAAAUUGCACAGAAAUGUCAUGAUGGUAUAGAUACUGUUCUGAAUCUUGCUUUUUACUUUUAAUCACAGGCCUAUCAUUUUUUUCCCAUAUUGCCACAUAAUUUUUAAAAUUUUACUUUUUAAUGGCUGUAUAAUAAUUUAAUGGGUAUAUUAUACGAAAGCAUUUGGCUAUCAUUGGAAAUUUUAGUUGUUACUUAUACAGCAAUGAAUGUCAAUGCAAAUAGCCUUUCCUUUAUUAUUCCAUGAUGAUGCAUUCUGAUGUUUGGGAUUCCUAGGUCAAAGAAUAAGGAAAUUUAAAGGAUCAUAAUAUGAAUUGCUAAAUAACUUCCCAAAAUAUUGUGCUGAUUUGCAAUAUCAGCAACAAUGUGCAUUAGCUUCACUGGAUUAUGCCAGCACUGAACAUUGUUUUUGGAAUUUUAUUGGCUGACUUUAUAGGUAUGAAAUAUUGCUUCAUUGUUUUAACAUAAAUUUAAUUGAUAAUUA
rnacentral:lncRNA from 1 species